AUUGAACGCUGGCGGCAUGCUUUACACAUGCAAGUCGAACGGCAGCACGGGGGCAACCCUGGUGGCGAGUGGCGAACGGGUGAGUAAUGCAUCGGAACGUGCCCCGUCGUGGGGGAUAACACAUCGAAAGAUGUGCUAAUACCGCAUACGACCUGAGGGUGAAAGCGGGGGACCGCAAGGCCUCGCGCGAUGGGAGCGGCCGGUGUCGGAUUAGCUAGUUGGUGGGGUAAAGGCCUACCAAGGCGACGAUCAGUAGCUGGUCUGAGAGGACGACCAGCCACACUGGGACUCAGACACGGCCCAGACUCCUACGGGAGGCAGCAGCGGGGAAUUUUGGACAAUGGGGGCAACCCUGAUCCAGCAAUGCCGCGUGCAGGAAGAAGGCCUUCGGGUUGUAAACUGCUUUUGUCAGGGAAGAAAUCUUCUGGGCUAAUACCCCGGGAGGAUGACGGUACCUGAAGAAUAAGCACCGGCCAACUACGUGCCAGCCGCCGCUGUAAAAC
rnacentral:rRNA from 1 species